UGCCAGCUUGUUGGAUUAAAAUGAAGGUCGAAACAAUAAUAAAGCCAAUAUAUGAGCGCGUUCGCGUGAACUCGUGAAUUAUAUUAAAUUUCGCACCCCAACCGAAACGUAACACUUACUGAAGUCGAAAAUAUUGCAAUGUUGUUAAAUUCAACAUUUUUGGCAGGAGCGAACUUACCGGAGAAACAUCAAACUGAACGAACGCUCAAUAUGUAAGACAACGGUAAAAGCAAACUUCUGUACCCCACGUGCUGUUCUCACCUCGAAUUCCGUGAACUGAUGAGUAACAGGAAGCUAUCGAAUGUUCAUUUCGCCAUAAAUGUUUACGCCUCAUCAAUUAAAUUCGCCAUUAGGUCACCAUUCGAUUCUACAGCAAGAAUUCGCACGGAGUAACCUCUACCACAAUAAAAAGCAAAAGGAGACGUAGUUUCGCGAGUGCAAAUCAAUUAAAUUAAGUGCAAGCUACGUAUGAACCACAAAAUACGUCACACAUACGAUUUCCACGUUUGAUGCUUCAGAGCCUUCCAGCGAGAUCAGGUGGCGUAAUUAUGGGCCAAGAAGCAGAACACAUCAUUUCAUAACCAACACACCUCGGCUGAGAAGAGGGUGGCACAGUUGCCACUGAUAAUGCACAAGCAAGACAUGAUAAACACAAUAACAACGAAUGUUGGGUACGCUUGCACCUGGACGAUGCGGUUCGAAACGUAGAAGGAAAAGAAAUACUCAUCGCGUGCAGCAGUACUCGAGCACUGGAAGUGCAAACUCACAAGACUUCGAUUUCGCUUGUUGAUGAUGAUGUUAUUGUUGUUACUCGUAAAUAUGAUUGCAAGUUCAUUGCCAUACAGCUGUGUACGUUCGCGCUGCGUUUUUUAUAUUUAUCAUAGAACGCUCGUAUGUUUCGAGAUGUUAUGACGUUGCGUCGUAUCGCAUCAGACGAAUUUAAACGAAGGCAAAAACUGAGUGUUAUCAUUGUACGUUUCACCAAAACAAGGAGAACGUAAAUCUUAUCGAAUUAGCUUCCCGAGUGAUUUAAUGUGAUUUACAAUUGUCAAAAAUACCGUUUUGUCUCAUGUUCCGAACACAUUAUUUUUAAAUGUAAAUUUACUAAACUUGUAUGUUAAAAAUAAUUGAAUGUUGAUAACCCUGACAUUCUCUGGGGUAUAGGCUUCAUUUUAACAUCAUUUACAGUUAUCGAUGCAGCCUAUAACGUAUAAUAUCAAGCAUUUGCAAAAAGGUGACAGUCAAAACCAAUGAUAAAAUGUUUGCGUUAGCAAAUUCGAUAAAAAAUAAGCAUCGGAUUUUUUUUAUUUUUUGUAGUUAUUCAACUAUUUUGACUGCUGUUUUCAUGUUAAGUGCUAGAAAAGGUAAGAAUUUACAAUAAAUGGAUUUGAAAACAGACGUUUUAUGCAGAAAUCUUCAUUAAAAUUGGUAUUCAGGUAGUGUUCGGAAAAUGAAUCAAGUUUCUACGCAUGAUUCAAAUUCCGAACACUUCAUUUUUAAAUGUAAAUUUGCCGAACUUUAAUGUUAUAAAUAAUUGAAUAAUCAAAAUCUUGACAUUCUUUGAGUUAUAGACUACAUUUUGACAUCAUUUACAGGUAGCGAUACAGCCUAUUUAUUUAUAAUAUGAAACAUUUGCAAAAAGUGACAGUCACAACCAAUGAUAAAAUGUUUGCGUUAGUAAGUUCCGUAAAAAAAACAAGCAUCGUGAAUUUAUCAGUUUUUUACAUGUUUUAUCUAUUUUGUUUGCUGUUUUCAAAUCAAGUGCUAGAAAAGAUAAGAAUCUACGCGAUAAAAUACCCUAUGCAAAAUAUUAGCUUAAUCGGACUUCAUUUUCUAGUGUCGCAGACAUCAAACUUUUAAUUUCGACCAAGGGGGAGUACAUGAAAUCAAGGUUAUAAAGCAAAUUCUGAUGCCAAAUGUCUUUAAAUUGCAUAAACAUCUAAAAAAAAAUCAAAAACACUUCAUUUUCUAGCGACGCUAGAAAAUGAAGUCCAAAUGAGCUAAUAUUUUGGAUAGGGUUUUUUAUCGCGCAAAUCAACAGUCCUAUAUGAAAAAUAAAG